GAGUCACAGUCCCAAAGGGAGUGAGUAACUAGCAUAGGGCACUGAAAACUUUGGCCAGGGCAAAAGAUUUCUGAAUGUAUAGAAAGCAAAAAAUCCAUUCAGAAAUCCAGCUCAGGGUGGAUCUGAGGUGUUCCUGGGAGGACACGUGACACUGUAUCAUGUGACUUCCCUGUAGCACCUGGAGAACAGCAGGCACCCAGUGCAUGCUGUCUGGCCAGGGAACACCAAGGGCUGCCCCAGACAACUCUGCUCAAACUCAAGGCUGCUGUGCAUGAAUUGCAGUGUGAAGUUUUCUGCUCUUGGAGAAACAUAAUGGUUUAAUUACAGAGAAGACUCAAGAUGUUCCUACAGCCAUUGCUCAGCGUGUAUGUGUCAGAGUCAAAUAUUGUUGGAUUGUGUUGUAUUGGGAUGUUUCUUUGGAAAACUUUCUAUCUUGAGUUUGAGAUUAGGAAAGAAUUUCCAGCAAUUUUGUUGUAUGGCAUUUAGUAUGCAUUUAGUAUGCAUAAUAUUUAUGCAAAGUGACAUUCUCAGCCUUGAUUAUAAAAUCAAAAUAUCAGUGAACUCUGGAAAACCUUCAUGUUCUCUCUUAUGCGGUAUCAAAUAUUUGGAUC
rnacentral:lncRNA from 1 species